rnacentral:rRNA from 1 species
UACGAAGGGGGCUAGCGUUGCUCGGAAUUACUGGGCGUAAAGGGCGCGUAGGCGGCGCAUUUAGUCAGGCGUGAAAGCCCUGGGCUCAACCUGGGGACUGCGCUUGAGACGGGCGUGCUAGAGGACGGAAGAGGGUCGCGGAAUUCCCAGUGUAGAGGUGAAAUUCGUAGAUAUUGGGAAGAACACCGGUGGCGAAGGCGGCGACCUGGUCCGUUACUGACGCUGAGGCGCGACAGCGUGGGGAGCAAACAGG